rnacentral:lncRNA from 13 species
GAGCAGGAUUCCACACUUGCUGGGACACGGCGGGCGGGUGCUUCUGCUUCAGCAUGUGAGCUUGAUGCCACACUUGCUGGGGCACAGUUGUCGGUUUCCUCUGCGGCUGAGCUUCUGCGGAUGGUUCCUUCUGCUGCAGGGGCAUUUGAACUGGAUACCACACUUGCUGAGGUUGCUGGGACAUGGGGGCCAAGUCCUUCCGCAGGAUGGCGGCCGGAUGUUUCUGUUGCGCUUGCAUUUGAGAUUUUGGAGACUUAUAAUUGCCAUAUCCUAGAGACCGAAGUGAUCCUGCGUCAAGCCAUGCUGCAUUAGAAUCCAGUGCAGGAGACCAAUCACCUAGGUUAAAAAUAUAAACUGUAAAAUGCCAGCCUUUGAAGGUUAUGGAACUGCGUAGCUGUUAUUUGAAAUUAACUCACCUUCUGAUGUAGAACACGUUAUCCCUCCAAUUAGCAGGCAACAAAGCCAAGAAACGCUUGAGGAAAGAGAAUGUAUGUUAUAAACAUAGAUACCUGUAACACCUGAAGGACAAGGGAAACAAACUAAAUCAAUACUUAAAAACAUACCUGAAAGCGAUUUCAAUCAUCACAGCCAUUUUGCCCUCAAAACCUCACCAGUAUUCAGCACUAAUGGUAGGCAUACAUCCUACCAGAAUAUCCCUUUUACUAUAUUUGCCAGAUGUUUGGUUGCUUCUUUUAAAGGAAUCCCAGACCCUUCUAAUGUUGUUGGCUAAUUAAGGACAGCUGUCAGCCACUGAAC